rnacentral:rRNA from 1 species
GAUUAUAUUAAAGUCACAACGGUAAAAGAUGAGCAUGCGUCCCAUUAGCUAGUUGGUAAGGUAACGGCUUACCAAGGCUACGAUGGGUAGGGGUCCUGAGAGGGAGAUCCCCCACACUGGUACUGAGACACGGACCAGACUCCUACGGGAGGCAGCAGUGAGGAAUAUUGGACAAUGGGCGCAAGCCUGAUCCAGCCAUGCCGCGUGCAGGAUGACGGUCCUAUGGAUUGUAAACUGCUUUUAUACGAGAAGAAACACUACUUCGUGAAGUAGCUUGACGGUAUCGUAAGAAUAAGGAUCGGCUAACUCCGUGCCAGCAGCCGCGGUAAUACGGAGGAUCCAAGCGUUAUCCGGAAUCAUUGGGUUUAAAGGGUCCGUAGGCGGUUUAAUAAGUCAGUGGUGAAAGCCCAUCGCUCAACGGUGGAACGGCCAUUGAUACUGUUAGACUUGAAUUAUUAGGAAGUAACUAGAAUAUGUAGUGUAGCGGUGAAAUGCUUAGAGAUUACAUGGAAUACCAA